CCUAGCUCCCUUGCCUUAGUCUGUCUGCCUUGGGCCGCCCCGCCUCCCAGGGGUUGGUUCCCCAUAUCGACUGCCCACUAGAUGGGGGUCCAAGGCACCAUCCAUCCUUCAGAAUGGCUCUGCUCGGUUCCCUGCACCUUCAGGGAAAACCACGCGUCACGCGCCAGGCCUCGGGCCCUAUCUGAACCUCCAGUCGGUCCAAGGGGAGCGCUCCCCCCAUGUGGCAUCGAAAUUGGGAAAUAAGACCCCGAUCACCAAGAAGCCAAGCCUCAGGUGACAAGCUGUGUGACUCCCGUUUAAAUCAGAAGGACCCAUGCAGUCAAGUUGCAUGGUCCCCUCAAGGACAUCCGUUCCUCAGAUUGGCUGAUUGAUGAGAAAGACAUAUUGGACUGUACCCUUUCUCCUUUUGAUUCGUCGUCUUCAGGAGAUAGGGAUUAGUCAGAAAGAAUGCAUUGUUUUCCUACACGUGUUAGGCAUUAUUCCCAGUUGUCUACUGAACUAUGAUGAAGACAAAUAGUCUAAGUUGUUGAGAUCUGUAGGGAGAGGGGGGAAUAUCUGUAGGUGUUAAACAAUUGAGCCACACCUUGGGAGUGGUGCUCUUGGUGGGGAAGGGAGGUUCAGGCAGUGCUUUGGGUAACAGCCCUACAAGAAAUGGAAAAGAAGAGCAUUUCUAGCAAAAAUAAGGCUACUUCACAGACGGAAGACUGGGAUCAAAUCUAGCGUAUUUGAAUGACAGGAAAUAAACCUGCAAAGAUACUAGAGGCUAGAUUCCCUACAGCCUUUUUAACCAAGAAAGGAAUUGGAAAGCUAGUCUACAGUGGAAAGCGUUGAAGACUUAAAAAAAAGGGAAAAUACCCAUAAUUAACUUAAAAAAAAAUAGUAAAGGCUUCCCUGUAGCUAACAAAUUUUACAGAAGUCAAAGAAGAAGCAAGGGAUCUUAUGCUGAGAAACUCAGUUUCCAGUGACCUUGACAUUCUCCAAAAUCUACUAAGUGGUGAGGACAGAAUUCCAGUCUGUCCUGCGGGCACUGGCAGAGGAGCUCGGAAGGGAAACGAACUUUCAUGAAAGACCUAAGAGUCAACAAGCAGCACCAGCCAACUUGAGAACCUGUAACUGAUGGAGGCAGAUACCAGGAAUGCUUUCCUAAGAAGUGCUGGCCCCGGGGUGUGAAAACGGAAGCACUACCACCUGCUCGGCCUCAUAGUCCUUUUCUCUGGAGCCACUGUGAGUCUGUGUAGCAUCCAAAACAUCAAGUGUGCCUGGUCAGAGUAAGAACGAAACUGCAAGUGGUCCUUUAAAGACGUGGUCCAGUGGAGCCAAGAUACUUGGGUGAUAGGCACAUAAAAGAAUUAUGGCCCAGCAACAUUGAAUGAUCACAUCCGGCACUAAAUGUCAUAGUUUAUGCUACAAUCAAGUAAUGAAGUCUGGCCCUGCCUUCCAGUGAAACUGAGCAUACUACACAAAACUGACUCCUGACUUAAUCCCCUGAUGCCAUCCUGACUACAAAGGAAGGCAUCAUCUUUCCUCAGAAGCUUUGGAGCUUUACACCAGCAACCUUGGAUAGCCAAAGCAGAUUCCAGGUCGCUUCCUGUUUGAAACCUUGACUCUCCCCUUGGCUGAGUGGCUGGAUUCCUCCCCGAGCCAUGCUGCAUGAGUGAUGGACCCAGCUGUCAGUUCACUUGUAAGAGCCAUGUCAAGUCCUUGUACACAUCCUUCAGUUCUUAUAUUUGCUUUUUGUUUUGCUUUGUUUAAUGGGCGUAAGUUAAUACAUACUCAUUGUGGUGAAAAUUCAAGAAAGGAAAGUGAAACCCUCUUGUAUUGUGGCUGCUUUGCAUGCAUUAUUACUUGAUAAUAAGCCGAUGUAAGGAUUCAGUAAGUAGAAAGAUAAAAAUUAUAUAGACCAUUUCAAUACAUUAAGGGCUUUCUAAAUUGAAGUGAUGAAGUUUUACAGUAUUUUUGUUUGUUCGUUUCUACUUUGUUUGAAGUUGUGGGGAUCCAACCCUGUCUUGUAUUCUACCACUGAGAUAUCCCCUUAGUCUCUAUGGCUUUGUUCUAAGACUGUACUAUAAGUGUUAAUGUUCCAUUGUUGUAAUAAAAUAUCAUUCAUGACCAAAAACAAUUUAAAAACAAAACAUUAUUUUAGUUUACAGUUCCAGAGGGAUAGAGCCAAUUAAUGGCCUGGUGGCAAGAGCAGGAAGUAGAUCACAUUUUGUUCGCACACAGGAAACAGAGCAAAAGACAGCAAGAAGUGGUGGAGUGAGGUAUAAACCAUCAAAACUUGUGUGUGUGUACAUUUUGUGUGUGUGCAUACUUGUGUACAUACAUACAUGUAUCCAUACAAAUAACAUACUUCUCCCAGCAGGACUCCACUUCCUUAACUUCUCCCAAACAAGAGUCACCGACUGAGCCCAUGGCGGGAGGGACGUUUCUCACUCAGACCACUUGCAAAGGGCCUAUAUAUCUAUUCCAACCUAUUAGAACAUUUAUAACUUAUACAGCGAAUUAUUUUGUAGUAAGUCUCAGGACCUCAGAAACACGACUGCACCAGUAUUAGAAUAUAACACUUAUUAAUGUUUUAAUAUAUAGACGGUGGUCAUUAAAUACUCAAAUGAUU